GUAGGUGAACCUGCGGAAGGAUCAUUAUCACGUAUUAAUCCACGUUAUAAACCCUUCUUUGAACUGUUUUUAAACUAAACAAUUUCUAAAGUAAGUGAAUGGACAAUGGGCGACGAAACACGACUUUGGACUGCGCGUCCGAUGAAAGGAAUGCUAAUUGUAAUUUGAACAUUCCGACUGUUUCAUGUAGCUAGAUGUGUUCUCUCUCGUAAGAGACAGACAAUUCUAUUUAUCUGUUUGUCAGAUAAAC
rnacentral:misc_RNA from 1 species